rnacentral:rRNA from 1 species
GAAUUGACGGGACCCGCACAAGCGGUGGAUGAUGUGGUUUAAUUCGAUGCAACGCGAAAACCUUACCCACCUUUGACAUGGCAGGAAUCCUGAAGAGAUUGGGAGUGCUCGAAAGAGAACCUGCACACAGGUGCUGCAUGGCUGUCGUCAGCUCGUGUCGUGAGAUGUUGGGUUAAGUCCCGCAACGAGCGCAACCCUUGCCAUUAGUUGCUACGAAAGGGCACUCUAAUGGGACUGCCGGUGACAAACCGGAGGAAGGUGGGGAUGACGUCAAGUCCUCAUGGCCCUUAUAGGUGGGGCUACACACGUCAUACAAUGGCCGGUACAGAGGGUAGCCAACCCGCGAGGGGGAGCCAAUCCCACAAAGCCGGUCGUAGUCCGGAUCGCAGUCUGCAACUCGACUGCGUGAAGUCGGAAUCGCUAGUAAUCGCGGAUCAGCAUGUCGCGGUGAAUACGUUCCCGGGUCUU